CUUCCAUUCUCCUGUUAAAGAAGCACUCCCCAGGCUCCCUCUGCCUGUGUGACUGGCCAGCAGGAGGUGGUGUUAACUUUCUAGCCACUUCUCACACUCUGUGAGACAGGCUGCAGAAUGUUUUGCUCCAGCUCAUCCCAGCCUGGCGUGGGACAGGGAAGAGAAAUGGCUGCAGUGGAGUCAGUCCAGGGGCCGGUGACCUUCAAGGAGAUGGCUAUGUAUUUCACCAGGGAAGAGUGGGC